GAUGAAGAACGUAGCGAAAUGCGAUAAGUAAUGUGAAUUGCAGAAUUCAGUGAAUCAUCGAAUCUUUGAACGCACCUUGCGCCCUUUGGCCAUUCCGAAGGGCAUGCCUGUUUGAGUAUCAUGAACACCUCAACUCUCAUGGCUUGCCAUGAUGAGCUUGGACUUUGGGGGUCUUGCUGGCCUGUGGUCGGCUCCUCUCAAAUGAAUCAGCUUGCCAGUGUUUGGUGGCAUCACAAGUGUGAUAACUAUCUGCGCUCGUGGUUUCCAUCAGAUAACCUCCAGUGAUGGAGGUUCGCUGGAGCUCAUAAAUGUCUCUCCUAAGCGAGGACAGCUCUUUUAAUGUUUGAUCUCAUAUCAGGUAGGACUACCCGCUGAACUUAAGCAUAUCAAUAAGCGGAGGA
rnacentral:misc_RNA from 1 species